GAUGAAGAACGCAGCGAAAUGCGAUAAGUAGUGUGACUUGCAGAAUUCAGUGAAUCAUCGAAUCUUUGAACGCACAUUGCGCCCUUUGGUAUUCCUUAGGGCAUGCCUGUUCGAGCGUCAUUUAAACCUUCAAGCUCAGCUUGGUGUUGGGUGACUGUCCGCUUCACCGCGGACUCGCCUCAAAAUUAUUGGCGGCCGGUACAUUGGCUUCGAGCGCAGCAGAAACGCGAACUCGGGCCCGUCGUAUUGGCUCCCAGAAGCUAUCUUCACAAUUUUGACCUCGGAUCAGGUAGGGAUACCCGCUGAACUUAAGCAUAUCAAUAAGCGGAGGA
rnacentral:misc_RNA from 1 species